rnacentral:rRNA from 1 species
GGGGAAUUUUCCGCAAUGGGCGAAAGCCUGACGGAGCAAUACCGCGUGAGGGAGGAAGGUUUUUGGAUUGUAAACCUCUUUUUUAAAGGAAGAAGCAAGUGACGGUACUUUAAGAAUCAGCAUCGGCUAACUCCGUGCCAGCAGCCGCGGUAAUACGGAGGAUGCAAGCGUUAUCCGGAAUCAUUGGGCGUAAAGCGUCCGCAGGUGGCUGUUCAAGUCUGCUGUUAAAGACAGAAGCUCAACUUCUGAACAGCAGUGGAAACUGGACGGCUAGAGUACGGUAGGGGUUGAGGGAAUUCCCAGUGUAGCGGUGAAAUGCGUAGAUAUUGGGAAGAACACCAGUGGCGAAGGCGCUCAACUGGAUCGUAACUGACACUCAGGGACGAAAGCUAGGGUAGCGAAAGGGAUUAGAUACCCCUGUAGUCUUAGCUGUAAACGAUGAACACUAGGCGUUGCUUGUAUCGACCCGAGCAGUGCCGUAGCCAACGCGUUAAGUGUUCCGCCUGGGGAGUACGCACGCAAGUGUGAAACUCAAAGGAAUUGACGGGGGCCCGCACAAGCGGUGGAGUAUGUGGUUUAAUUCGAUGCAACGCGAAGAACCUUACCAGGACUUGACAUCUCGAGAACUGAACCUAAUAGUUCAGGUGCCUUAGGGAACUCGAAGACAGGUGGUGCAUGGCUGUCGUCAGCUCGUGUCGUGAGAUGUUGGGUUAAGUCCCGCAACGAGCGCAACCCUCGUUCUUAGUUGCCAGCAUUAAGUUGGGCACUUUAGGAAGACUGCCGGUGACAAACCGGAGGAAGGUGGGGAUGACGUCAAGUCAGCAUGCCCCUUACGUUCUGGGCUACACACGUACUACAAUGGUUGGGACAAAGGGCAGCGAGCUCGCAAGAGUCAGCGAAUCUCAUCAAACCCAGCCUCAGUUCAGAUUGCAGGCUGCAACUCGCCUGCAUGAAGGAGGAAUCGCUAGUAAUCGCAGGUCAGCAUACUGCGGUGAAUUCGUUCCCGGGCCUUGUACACACCGCCCGUCACACCAUGGAAGUUGGCCACGCCCGAAGUCGUUACCCUAACCCCGUAUAGGGAGGGGGAUGCCGAAGGCAGGGCUGGUGACUAGGGUGAAGUCGUAACAAGGUAGCCGUACCGGAAGGUGUGGCUGGAUCACCUCCUU